ACGAACGCUGGCGGCAUGCCUAACACAUGCCAGUCGAACGAGACCUUCGGGUCUAGUGGCGCACGGGUGCGUAACGCGUGGGAACCUGCCCUUAGGUUCGGAAUAACUCCCCGAAAGGGGUGCUAAUACCGGAUAAUGUCUUCGGACCAAAGAUUUAUCGCCUUUGGAUGGGCCCGCGUUGGAUUAGCUAGUUGGUAGGGUAAAAGCCUACCAAGGCGACGAUCCAUAGCUGGUCUGAGAGGAUGAUCAGCCACACUGGGACUGAGACACGGCCCAGACUCCUACGGGAGGCAGGAGUGGAGGAUAUUGGAAAAUGGGCGAAGGGCUGAUGCAGCAAUGCCGCGUGAGUGAUGAAGGCCUUAGGGUUGUAAAGCUCUUUUACCCGGGAUGAUAAUGACAGUACCGGGAGAAUAAGCACCGGCUAACUCCGUG
rnacentral:rRNA from 1 species